GUGCCAGCAGCCGCGGUAAUACGUAGGGUGCUAGCGUUGUUCGGAAUCAUUGGGCGUAAAGCGCGUGCAGGCUGUUAGAUAAGUCAGAUGUGAAAUCCCUGGGCUCAACCGAGGAAGUGCAUUUGAAACUAUCUAGCUGGAAGAUGGUAGAGGAAGGUGGAAUUCCAAGUGUAGAGGUGAAAUUCGUAGAUAUUUGGAGGAAUACCGGUGGCGAAGGCGGCCUUCUGGACCAUUCUUGACGCUGAGACGCGAAAGCGUGGGUAGCAAACAGGAUUAGAAACCCCUGUAGUCC
rnacentral:rRNA from 1 species